rnacentral:lncRNA from 1 species
UAAAAUCCUGUGUCACUUGCCAAAUGCAUGAUAGACAGCAGUGACAUGUAACCCUCAGUUACAGCCUGUUCCUCUUCCUAAAUCUGCAGGGGAAAAAGUGGCGAUUGACAUUGUAGGACCCUUUGAUACUGCUCCAAUUGACUGUCGUUAUACCAUCACUUUAAUAGAUUAUUUCAGCAAAUGGCCUGAGGUAGCGUUUACAUCGCAAAUUUCUUCUGCUACAGUAAUUAAGUUUCUCUCUUCAGUUUUUAGCCGUGAAGGUAACCCCAAAGAACUGGUUUCAGAUAAUGGUAGUCAAUUUACUUCCCUGGAGUUUGAAACUUUUCUAGCAGAGAGGAACAUUUUACACAGGAGGUCAUCCCUAUAUUACCUUCAAGCCAAUGGAGAAAUCGAACGGUUUAACAGAAGUUUGAAAGAGAGUUUGCAAACAGCUAAACUGGAAGGGCGAUUGUGGAUACCCUUCACUACUGAUUUCUUGCAAGCAUACCGGGCUACACGACAUGCCACAAUGCAAAGAUCACCCGCAGAGUUACUUCAUGGGAAGCAGAUGACUACUAAACUGAACAUAGCUGGAUUGUUAAAGGCACGACCUGAUGCCCCAAACAAGGAUGAUGUGAGAAAGACAGUUGAACAGAACCAAGCAAAGUCUAAGGCUUUCACAGACAAACGGCGGGGUGCUAAGGAACCAAAGUUUGAGUGUGGUUCCUUUGUUAGAAUAUGAAAACCUGGAAUCUUACACAAAGGGGACCAUAAAUUCACAGCUCCUCUUAAAAUCAUAGAGAAGAAGGGACCUUACACCUAUCGACUUUCUGAUGGGUGGGUAUGGAAUGCUUCUUAUCUUGCACCUGCCUAUGCACCAAGAGGAGAUUAUGCCAAUACCCAGUCUGCAUUGGAUGACUUCAAUGUAGAACCAACACAACAAGACAUUGCACUGGAACCGGGGCUUGAGAGACGGCCUGUCAGACUCAGACGACCACCUGCCUGGACUAAAGACUGUGUUAUGUAGUAUCUACAGUGUUUUCAGUGUAAUAU